CAACAGGGAUUGCCUCAGUAACGGCGAGUGAAGCGGCAACAGCUCAAAUUUGAAAUCUGGCCUUCGGGUCCGAGUUGUAAUUUGCAGAGGAUGUUUUCGGCGAGGCACCAACUGAGUCCCCUGGAAUGGGGCGCCAUAGAGGGUGAGAGCCCCGUAUAGUUGGACGCUGAACCGGUGUAAAACUCCUUCGACGAGUCGAGUAGUUUGGGAAUGCUGCUCUAAAUGGGAGGUAAAUUUCUUCUAAAGCUAAAUACCGGCCAGAGACCGAUAGCGCACAAGUAGAGUGAUCGAAAGAUGAAAAGCACUUUGAAAAGAGGGUUAAAAAGCACGUGAAAUUGUUAAAAGGGAAGCGCCCGUGACCAGACUCUGUUUUUGGGGAUCAUCCGUCCUUCUGGGCGGUGCACUCUCCUUUAAUGGGGCCAGCAUCGGUUUUCGCUGGAGGAAAAGGACUUUGGGAAUGUGGCUCUCUUCGGGGAGUGUUAUAGCCCUUUGUUGGAUGCUCCGGCGGGGACCGAGGACCGCGCUUCGGCUUGGAUGCUGGCGUAAUGGUCAUCGGCGACCCGUCUUGAAACACGGACCAAGGAGUCAAGCAUUAGGGCGAGUGUACGGGUGUAAAACCCGCACGCGCAGUGAAAGCGAACGCUGGUGAGAGCUUCGGCGCAUCACCGACCGAUCCUGACGUUCUCAGAUGGAUUUGAGUAGGAGCCUUAACGCUUGGACCCGAAAGAUGGUGAACUAUGCCUGAAUAGGGUGAAGCCAGAGGAAACUCUGGUGGAGGCUCGCAGCGGUUCUGACGUGCAAAUCGAUCGUCAAAUUUGGGCAUAGGGGCGAAAGACUAAUCGAACCAUCUAGUAGCUGGUUAC
rnacentral:rRNA from 1 species